AUGAAAUUCCUGUCAAACUUCUCCAGUGUCUCCAAGCCAUCAUUAAAUUCUGGCCAAGAUGUACUUCAAUGUGACCGAUUCCAUCAAAUAAUGCAUUUGAAUUUCAUUCAGGGGCUGAAGCUGAAAGAGAAGGAAAGGAGGGAGCUCCAUGAGGAGUUUGGACACCUGAAGCGGGUCCACCAGGAGAAGUGCAAGGUGGUGGAAAGGCACCAGGAACUGGAAGAGGAGACCAAUGCUUUCAACUGACUGAAGGCUGCGGUAGAGGCCUUGCAGUCGCAGGCUUUGCAAUAUCACCUUACAGCAGCCCCUGUGGAAGGCAAGGACAAGAAGAAUCAACACACGCGUGCUUACAUGUCGAGAGUGGACUUUAGACUCUCAUGUGUUCAGUUGUUUGAGUUACACCUUACGACUCUUCUCAUAACAUAGUGUGAGGACAGACUGGGAGCCGGUACCGACUCCAUUGUUUAACAGCCUUGCUUUCCCCUACCCCACCCCAGGUCCAGGUUUCCCCGGGCCUGGCGGGUCACCUCUCUCUAUGCAAACACAUAAAAGCCAUAAAUGCUGGAAUGCAAACCUGAUGAGGUUUCUUCUUCAGAACCAGUGGUUGUUCUUCCAUUUACAGUGUCACUGUUGCUUCAUGGAGGAGUUAGGUGUGGCUCUAGCAAAGGCCCCAGCCAUGAUACUGGGCCUGAUUGUGCAGCAGCUCGUUUGGUGCCAUAGGUGCAGCUGCUGGUCUGGUGGACUUGCUGCAAAAUGUGCUCAUAGUUGCUCAUUUUAACUUUCCAAACCUAGAGCUCAGUUUUAAUAACUUCAAAACUUUAAAACACUUCUAAAUUUUUAUUUUGGCAUCAGUGUAAAGACAAAUAAUAUCCUCUCCUACUGUUUUCAUAAGGAACACACAUUCACUGAUUUAAAAAAAAAAUCACUAAACUUUUCUAAUGUAUAAAACAUCCCUAUAAUACAGAGUGAGAGAUGGGUAAUAAACUUCCUGUAAUAACAGUGUUUGGCUUUUUAUUUAUUUUUAUUUUUAUUUUUAGACAAGAUCUCACUAUAUGCCCAAGCUGGAGUCCAGUGGCGGGAUGAUGGCUCACUGCAGCCUCCACUUCCUGGGCUCAAAGAAUCCUCCCUUAAGUAGCUGGGACCACAGGCGUGUGCAUUUUACAUUUCUUUACUGAUGGAAGUAGAACCUGAACAAACCCAUGUCCACUGUUGUUACUAUGAAUGUAAACGGAAUAGUGGCCUG
rnacentral:lncRNA from 1 species